rnacentral:rRNA from 1 species
UGGGGAAUAUUGCACAAUGGGCGCAAGCCUGAUGCAGCCAUGCCGCGUGUAUGAAGAAGGCCUUCGGGUUGUAAAGUACUUUCAGUCGGGAGGAAGGUGGUAAGGUUAAUAACCUUAUCAAUUGACGUUACCGACAGAAGAAGCACCGGCUAACUCCGUGCCAGCAGCCGCGGUAAUACGGAGGGUGCAAGCGUUAAUCGGAAUUACUGGGCGUAAAGCGCACGCAGGCGGUUGAUUGAGUCAGAUGUGAAAUCCCCGGGCUUAACCCGGGAAUUGCAUCUGAUACUGGUCAGCUAGAGUCUUGAAGAGGGGGGUAGAAUUCCAUGUGUAGCGGUGAAAUGCGUAGAGAUGUGGAGGAAUACCGGUGGCGAAGGCGGCCCCCUGGACAAAGACUGACGCUCAGGUGCGAAAGCGUGGGGAGCAAACAGG